ACACAAGACUACACAUGUGCCACCACCCAGGGAGAGGGACACUCGAGGUCCCUAAACCCAAGGACAUGGACCCCCUUCCCCCAGAAGGAGGGAAAUGUUCGUGGAGUUUGCUGUGAACUGCAUGCUGCUUUUGUCCGAAGAUGAUUGUGUAAAGUUCAGAGCGUCAGCCUUUGAAAGCAAGUUAACUUCGAUAAUGAGACAAGUCUGGUCUAAUUUGAGCAAAAUGGGUCGAAAGAAGAAGGAUCAAUCCCUCUGGAGUGCAAGUAUCCAAUAGAAUUUUUUUAAACUCACAGCAUCAACCUGUUUACACCAACAAUGUUCACGAGAAAUAGAAAAUAGGCAAAGGAGGGAAAGGUCUGCAGUCAAGAAAUCUGCUGAGAUCCUUAAUGUCCUGCCAAAUCCUAAUAAUCCAGUCUAAAAUCUACAUUGGCUUUUGAACAUAAAAUUCAAUUUACAGUUACCAUUUAAGUAAAUAACUUUGCUAUAUUUUAUUAUAACAAAAAGUCCAUCGUUAUUGAUUUUAAAGAUUAAUCAUUUGAGUUAUUACGCUAGUGAUUAGUUUGAGAAUAGAAUAAAAAUGGAGUAUUCUGUACAACUGCUUUAUGUAAUGAUUUAAAACAAAUUGAAAAUCUAAAUAUUUUUAAAAAUUAAAAUCUGAACAUGUAAAACUACUGUCAGUACAACAAUUGUAUAUGCAACACAAAAAAAUUAAUCAUACUUAUCAUAAUUUAAAGCUAAGAUGCUUUGAUAUGUCACAAAAUUAAGGUGGUUAAAUUUUAAAACAAUGAUGGUUCUAUGAAUUUGAAUGACAUAGGUAAAAAUCAAACACUAGAUUUAUUUUGAGUAAUCCAGAUAAUACAAAAGAAUCUGUAUGCACAUUAUUAAAAGAGAAAUGCUGAGACAAACAAAUCUGCAGUGAAUAUCGAUCUGUAUCAAAUUUUUAACUAUUUGAAGAGAAGACAAGUUUAAAGACACAAAAGUUACGAAAGAAAUUUCAAAUUCAGCACGGUUCCCACACUUUUUAAGGGGGCAUAAAAAUUUUUUCUUGGGGUGCUGAUUGAUUAAUUGAUGUUUCUAAAGUUCCAAUGAUCAUUUAGUUAUUGAAUGCAGUCGUGAAUGUUGAUCACCUAAGCCUUAUUAAAAUGCGAUUCUGAAUUUAUACAUGGUAGCUUCUAUUUAAUAUUAGCUUAAUUUUGUAAAACAUGCUUAAUAAGCCAGUCUUUAAAAAAAAUGGAUAAAAAAACAAUUAAAAUCUAUAAUAAAAUAUAAUUUGAAGAAUUCAAAAAAAGAAAAAAAAAAUCUUGAUGUGUUCAAGUUUCUGCUUUACCAUAGUAAUAAUUUUGAAUAAAAACAUUUAUGAAUCCCAAUAAAUUAAUUGUAUUUUCAAAGGGCAUUUAGUUAGUACAUCAAAAAUACAUCAAAAAUAACAAUGAUUGUAAUAAUAAAUAGAAAUAAAAUACAUAAAUAAAUAAAAAUUAAAAUAAAAUUACAUAAAAAAAAUUAAAAAACUUUAAAGUCCAGUUAUAAUUGUAUUGUGUGAUUCAUAAUCGUAA